rnacentral:rRNA from 1 species
UACGGAGGGGGCUAGCGGUGUUCGGAAUUACUGGGCGUAAAGCGCGCGUAGGCGGACCGGCAAGUCGGGGGUGAAAGCCCGAGGCUCAACCUCGGAAUUGCCUUCGAUACUGCGAAUCUCGAGGCCGGGAGAGGUGAGUGGAAUGCCGAGUGUAGAGGUGAAAUUCGUAGAUAUUCGCCGGAACACCAGUGGCGAAGGCGGCUCACUGGCCCGAUACUGACGCUGAGGUGCGACAGCGUGGGGAGCAAACAGG